UACGGAGGGUGCAAGCGUUAUCCGGAUUCACUGGGUUUAAAGGGUGCGUAGGUGGGUUGGUAAGUCAGUGGUGAAAUCCCCGAGCUUAACUUGGGAACUGCCAUUGAUACUAUCAAUCUUGAGUACUGUGGAGGUCAGCGGAAUAUGUCAUGUAGCGGUGAAAUGCUUAGAUAUGACAUAGAACACCAAUUGCGAAGGCAGCUGGCUACACAAAUAUUGACACUGAGGCACGAAAGCGUGGGGAUCAAACAGG
rnacentral:rRNA from 1 species